rnacentral:rRNA from 1 species
UACAGAGGUCUCAAGCGUUUGUUCGGAUUCAUUGGGCGUAAAGGGUGCGUAGGUGGCGCUGUAAGUCAGGUGUGAAAUUUCGGAGCUUAACUCCGAAACUGCAUUUGAUACUGCGGUGCUUGAGGACUGGAGAGGAGACUGGAAUUUACGGUGUAGCAGUGAAAUGCGUAGAGAUCGUAAGGAAGACCAGUGGCGAAGGCGGGUCUCUGGACAGUUCCUGACCAGCUGAGGCACGAAGGCCAGGGGAGCAAACGGG